CCAACAGUCCUUUUCAGGACUACACAUCCUCAGAAGAAGUUACCA
rfam:Strongylocentrotus purpuratus Contig128839_fixed, whole genome shotgun sequence.